rnacentral:lncRNA from 1 species
GGGAUUUCGGGCUCCAGCAGCACGCAGCCUCCAGUCUUGAGUGACUCCUGGGCUUUGGCUCAGCAGUAACUCCUCCAUAAAAACAAGUGUGUGCAUCUGGCUGUUAGAAGAAUUCAUGCUCAUCCGGGAAAAAUGAGGAAGCUGUGAGUACCAGUGGAAGGAACGAGCCAGGAAGAGGGACUGGAACCAUCUCAGAAGCCAUGCCCCUCAGGCUGGAACUUGCCCUGUCUCCUCGCAGAUGAGCUACCUCUUGUGUUUAAGAAUUAAAGGAAGAUGAGCUAGGAAUCAAGAAAUACGCAGAACUGAUUCCUGUCACUGGCGCCACCCUGCCACUUGCCCAGAGCUGUGGUAUAAAUUUUUUUAAUAGGCUGAAAUAAAAAUAUGAAUAGCAUUUUGGUAUUAAGCAUUAAAUUGAUAAAGGCUAUGAGAUACACCUGCUCUCAACCAUGUUAAUUUUUUAUUAUUGGUAUUAAUAAAUUAUUACUUACUAACAUAUUAACAAGAAUUGCAUUGAGAAACAAAGCAUCCACAGGCCAA